rnacentral:rRNA from 1 species
CACCGCCGCGGUAAUACCGGCGGCCCGAGUGGCGGCCACUAUUAUUGGGCUUAAAGCGUCCGUAGCCGGGUUGGUUAGUCUCCCGGGAAAUCUGGCCGCUUAACGGUCAGAAUUCCGGGAGAUACUGCCAGCCUAGGGACCGGGAGAGGCCGAGGGUAUUCCCGGAGUAGGGGUGAAAUCCUAUAAUCCCGGGAGGACCACCUGUGGCGAAGGCGCUCGGCUGGAACGGGUCCGACGGUGAGGGACGAAGGCCAGGGGAGCAAACCGGAUUAGAUACCCGGGUAGUCCUGGCUGUAAACGAUGCGGACUUUGUGUCGGACAAGCUAUGAGCUUGUCCGGUGCCGGAGGGAAACCGUUAAGUCCGCCGCCUGGGGAGUACGGCCGCAAGGCUGAAACUUAAAGGAAUUGGCGGG